GAUGAACGCUGGCGGCGUGCCUAAUACAUGCAAGUAGAACGCUGAAGGAGGAGCUUGCUCUUCUGGAUGAGUUGCGAACGGGUGAGUAACGCGUAGGUAACCUGCCUGGUAGCGGGGGAUAACUAUUGGAAACGAUAGCUAAUACCGCAUGACAACAGUUAUUGCAUGAUAACUGUUUAAAAGGGGCAACUGCUCCACUACCAGAUGGACCUGCGUUGUAUUAGCUAGUUGGUGAGGUAACGGCUCACCAAGGCGACGAUACAUAGCCGACCUGAGAGGGGGGUCGGCCACACUGGGACUGAGACACGGCCCAGACUCCUACGGGAGGCAGCAGUAGGGAAUCUUCGGCAAUGGACGGAAGUCUGACCGAGCAACGCCGCGUGAGUGAAGAAGGUUUUCGGAUCGUAAAGCUCUGUUGUAAGAGAAGAACGAGUGUGAGAGUGGAAAGUUCACACUGUGACGGUAGCUUACCAGAAAGGGACGGCUAACUACGUG
rnacentral:rRNA from 1 species